AUCCUUUUGUAGUUCAUAAGUGUGAUGAUUGGGUUUUCACACUCACGUGUGAGACGUGCCUCCCUCAAACCUUGUUAAGAUAUCGGCAUAUGACUGUCUGACA